UUACUGCAGCCCGACUUGAGUGGAGCUCCUUUUUUUUUUGCAUUUGAAAAAAAAAGAGCGGGAACGGAAGGCGGAAAUGUCU
rnacentral:misc_RNA from 1 species